rnacentral:rRNA from 1 species
UACGGAGGGUGCAAGCGUUAUCCGGAUUUACUGGGUUUAAAGGGUGCGCAGGCGGAUAUGUAAGUCAGUGGUGAAAUCUCCGGGCUUAACCCGGAAACUGCCGUUGAUACUAUAUAUCUUGAAUGCCGUGGAGGUAAGCGGAAUAUGUCAUGUAGCGGUGAAAUGCUUAGAUAUCGAGAGGAACACCUGCGGCGAAGGCGGGUUGCUGGGCUGACACUGACGCUGAAGCGCGAAAGCUAGGGGAGCGAACGGG